GGUGACUGAAUAUCUGAAUGGUCAAGAAUCUGCCAAGAGUGCCAGGCUCAACAUUUGGCGUUAUGGAGAUUUCCGUGAUGAUGACGCGGAUGAGUUCGGGUACCGCCGCUAAGUCGUUGUUCCAAAGACCUUGUGGAAGACGAGAUGUAUUCGCAGAGAACACAAAAAAACUAAAAUCAUGAAAAACAAAACAUCAGUAUACUCUUAUUUUUUUUCUAAUGUUGAACAUUUGCCUCUCUUGUUUUUUUUUUUUUUACUUUUUUUAAUACUCUGUGCAUAUCCUCACUUCUGCCCAAGGGCUUUGUUUCUUAUCCUUUUCUUAUUUUAUUUUAUUUUAAAGCGAGUAGGCUACAGAUAACUCUACCUGUAGCUGCUUCAAAUAGGACCAACGUACUUACCUUAAUCUUAAAUUUUGACAUGUUAGCCAAUCACCUUUUUCAUGUAAAUUUUUAGCCAAUCACCAGCUGUCAAACCCCAUCCUAGCAAACCUGAUCUGCCCAAUCAGAUUUCUAUAUUUUGGGGCAAGACAUUUAAAGAAGUGAGGAGGAUGCACAGAGCAACCAUGAACUCAACAGCUUGCUGAGAAAACGCCUCCUUAAUCAUGAGAUUCUAUAUUUCAGUAUAUAAUAUAUAUGGAUAUUUUGAAGUUAGAUCAAAAGUAACCAAGUGAACUUACUGAGCGUAUUUUUGUCUCUCUCUCUCUCUGAUGUGAUCCGAGUGUUCAGUGACAUUUCUGGGCGUUUGUAUAGGAUGUGUGUUUUCUCUUUUUCUGUGGCAAAAGAACUGCUGCCAGCACCUUUACAAGCGUCUCUCGGCCUACUCUGUGAGGUUUACUCAACGGUCAUCGUUUCUUCUUUUCCCGCUUUUGCCCGCCAUACAGAAACAGUGUUUGAAUUUAUUUCCUUCGGAGGUAGACCCUGUCAUUGUAUUUAAAUCUGAUCAAUAAAAAUGAGCAAAGUGC